rnacentral:rRNA from 1 species
UACGGAGGGGACUAGCGUUGUUCGGAAUUACUGGGCGUAAAGCGCGCGUAGGCGGAUUUGCAAGUCGGGGGUGAAAUCCCGAGGCUCAACCCUGGAACUGCCUUCGAUACUGCAAAUCUCGAGUCCGGAAGAGGUGAGUGGAAUUCCUAGUGUAGAGGUGAAAUUCGUAGAUAUUAGGAGGAACACCAGUGGCGAAGGCGGCUCGCUGGUCUGUUACUGACGCUGAGACGCGAAAGCGUGGGGAGCAAACAGG